rnacentral:rRNA from 1 species
UGCCAGACUCCUACGGGAGGCAGCAGUGGGGGAUAUUGCACAAUGGGGGAAACCCUGAUGCAGCGACGCCGCGUGUGGGAAGACGGUCCUCUGGAUUGUAAACCACUGUCCCCAGGGACGAAAAUGACGGUACCUGAAGAAGAAGCCCCGGCUAACUACGUGCCAGCAGCCGCGGUAAUACGUAGGGGGCAAGCGUUAUCCGGAUUUGCUGGGUGUAAAGGGGGCGCAGACGGCGAUGCAAGCCAGGAGUGAAAGCCCGGGGCCCAACCCCGGGACUGCUCUUGGAACUGCGUGGCUAGAGUGCAGGAGGGGCAGGCGGAAUUCCUGGUGUAGCGGUGAAAUGCGUAGAUAUCAGGAGGAACACCGGUGGCGAAGGCGGCCUGCUGGACUGCAACUGACGUUGAGGCCCGAAAGCGUGGGGAGCAAACAGGAUUAGAUACCCGAGUAUA